AACCCCGCGUAUCUCCGAGCGGGGAACCCGCAGCACCUCCCCUCCGGGGGCCGCAGAGAAGCGGCGAGCGGGACCCCAGGACAGUCGGUCCCCACCUGGCGGCGACUGAUCCUUACCUGACGGCGCCGCGUCCCCGCCGCCGCCCGCCCUCCUCCCGCUGCUAUAGCUACGGGCAGCCGCCGCGGCCGCGCUCUCGCGAGAGGAGCCAUUUUCCUGUCACAGCCCCGGGCCGCGCCGCUGGCGGGCGCCUCCUCUCGCGAGAGCGCCGAGGGGAGGCGGGGACCGGGCGCCUUCCCUCAGGACGGGGCGGUGGCUGUGGGUCCCCUCAGUGGGUCUCCUGUCAUGUCCAGGGUCGGCGUGACCCAGCCAGCUUCCCCUCACAGCUGGGCCUUCGGCAGUGCUUGCUGCAUAGAGCUGCCUGGGUACAAACGUCUUUUUCUUGCCGGAGGGAAAAUAAGUGCGCUCGCAGAGCGUGUGUAAUCCCGAAGGAUUGCAAAGUGUGGUGUGUGAGCGCUGUGGGACGUGCCUGUGGCCAAAGGGAGCAGGCCGCCACGUUCACUGCCACCAAAAGUUUGGAUGUAGUCCAUAUUAGAGCUGGAUUUAUUCACAGUGCUCCCAAGGUCUCAGAAAUACCGUAACAGUCCUCAGAGCCAUGCCACCAAUUAUUGCCUGUUUUUCUUCCUGUAUGUGUGGCAUCGAUACAACUGUUACAAGAAAUCAAAUAGAUUUUGAGGCUGCAUAUUUGAGAGGCAACAGCAAAUUCAUCUUUUUGAAAUCUUGAACCUUGUUGGCUUCAGACAAGCUCACUCCAAGACAGCGUUGCUCAGGAAUGGCGCCUCAAGCAGGAGUCUUAACACAGUCAAAGCUGGGUAAGUGCAGCUUUGUCUUUGGUAUUUGUAGCUUGCCUCUGGUCAGGUUGUUUGGAGUGAAGAGAGAUUUUACUUGGGUGGAAUGCACGGCUCAUGGCAUUGGUAACAAGUUGUGGAGUUUUACAUAUAUGCAUAUUCACAUCACAAAAGUGACUUCACAGUUAGGCUUGACUGAGCCUGUUGGUGGAAGUCCCAGAAGAGAAGCCCAGGAGUGUCAACUGAGAAGGCUGAUAACCCUCUCUGCUUGGCCCAGGGGACAGAUUGCUGUCCUCUGUGGUAAGCUCUGCCUUGUCUGUGUGUUUCUGGAGGAAGUGGACAGUAUCAGUCACCUCUGGACAUCUUAAAACCCACUCAAAGAAAAGAACAAUUGUGGCAGGUUCAUCUAAUACAUAGUCCUCUGGCUUGCCUAAAAAUUUUGGGCUCUUGUCUUUCAAGUUGUUAUCACUAGCAAGAGCCUGAUCCUGCAGGCUGAGUGCCUGGAUCGGAUGAAUUCUGAAUUCUCUAAGGCUGCUCCAUGUGUCUCAUGAAAAAUAGAUGAUGAAAGAUGAUCCAACUAAUAGAGCUGAGAUCUCUAAGUAUCUCAAGGCCCUGACGUCACUGCAGGCAGUCCCCAGGAGGAGACACCGUGUGCUCCCCAUCAGCUCCUCGCUGUGCCCUAAAGAAAAUGAUUGAGGCCAGCAAAUGUGUUUCUAUUUCCGCCUCACUGAUAAAGAGCUUCCCAAAGGCUUGAUGCCUAUGUGGUUACUAACACUUCUGAAGUUACCAUGACGGUGUCCUCUUGGUAGCAGCCACUCAAACGUUCCUUAAUAGUGGGAUGGGUGGUUUAAAAUUCAGACACUUGAAUAUGAGAGUAGGGAUGACUGCAUAAGACUACCUGCUGUUUUUAUCAAAAAUAAGGUAAUGAGGUGCCCAUUGGUCCUUAAUUUGGCAUUACACAACC